CACUCCAUCAAGGCUUUGAGCCAGAGUGAUGGAAGAUGGCGCUAUAGUAAUAAUAAUCCUGAGUCUAGUACCCUUGCUGCAGGUUUAGCACUUGAAGCCCUUGCUGGAGUGGUCUCAUUAUCAUCUUCUGAGAUUGAUCAAUCUCUGAUUGCUACAACUAAAAAUGAUAUAUUGAAGUUGUUUGACAGCAUUGAUAAGUAUGAUGAUGGGGCUUUUUACUUUGAUGAGAAACUGGUUGAUGCGCAUGAACAUCAAGGUCCUCUUUCAACUACAUCUUCUGUUGUUAGAGGAUUGACUGCAUUUGC
rnacentral:misc_RNA from 1 species